GAUGCAACAGCGCCAGGUGCCGGCCAGGGGGCUUCGGUGCCAGCGGGCUGGAGACGUCGGAGCGCAGCCAGAUCCAGCUGAAGAGCUGCAGCGCGACCGAGGCGAGGCCCAACAGCACCAGCACCAGCGCGGCCCACAGUCUCACAGGUGCCUGAGCAGGAUUGGAACCCAGGUUGUUUACCCCAUGGCCUGUGUAUUUUCUGUUCAAGCAAGUUCCCAGGUGCACAGAAGAUUCUCACAGACCCAAGGCUCCUGACCUGCAGGCUCAGCGUAGCUCGGUCGUAUUCAAACACCCGGAUGCCUGGAUUGUUGGCUCCGUUGACCACUCCAG